rnacentral:rRNA from 1 species
GAUGAACGCUGGCGGCGUGCCUAAUACAUGCAAGUCGAGCGAAGCGGGGACGGGUGAGUAACACGUGGAUAACCUCCUAUAAGACUGGGAUAACUUCGGGAAACCGGAGCUAAACCGGAUACUUAUCGAUGGAUCCGCGCUGCAUUAGCUAGUUGGUAGGGUAACGGCUUACCAAGGCAACGAUGCAUAGCUGACCUGAGAGGAUGAUCAGCCACACUGGAACUGAGACACGGUCCAGACUCCUACGGGAGGCAGCAGUGGGGAAUCUUGCGCAAUGGGCGAAAGCCUGACGGAGCAACGCCGCGUGUGUGAAGAAGGUCUUCGGAUCGUAAAGCUCUGUUAGUAGGGAAGCGUUACCUAAUCAAGAAGCCACGGCUAACUACGUGCCAGCAGCCGCGGUAAUUC